rnacentral:misc_RNA from 1 species
GAUGAAGAACGCAGCGAAAUGCGAUAAGUAAUGUGAAUUGCAGAAUUCAGUGAAUCAUCGAAUCUUUGAACGCACAUUGCGCCCGCCAGUAUUCUGGCGGGCAUGCCUGUUCGAGCGUCAUUUCAACCAUCAAGCCCCCGGCUUGUGUUGGGGACCUGCGGCUGCCGCAGGCCCUGAAAAGCAGUGGCGGGCUCGCUGUCACACCGAGCGUAGUAGCAUACAUCUCGCUCUGGGCGUGCUGCGGGUUCCGGCCGUUAAACCACCUUCAUAACCCAAGGUUGACCUCGGAUCAGGUAGGAAGACCCGCUGAACUUAAGCAUAUCCAAUAAGCGGAGGA